rnacentral:rRNA from 1 species
AGUUUGAUUAUGGCUCAGGAUGAACGCUGGCGGCGUGCCUAACACAUGCAAGUCGAGCGAUUUACUUCGGUAAAGAGCGGCGGACGGGUGAGUAACGCGUGGGUAACCUGCCCUGUACACACGGAUAACAUACCGAAAGGUAUGCUAAUACGAGAUAAAAUACUUUUAUCGCAUGGUAGAAGUAUCAAAGCUUUUGCGGUACAGGAUGGACCCGCGUCUGAUUAGCUAGUUGGUAAGGUAACGGCUUACCAAGGCGACGAUCAGUAGCCGACCUGAGAGGGUGAUCGGCCACAUUGGAACUGAGACACGGUCCAAACUCCUACGGGAGGCAGCAGUGGGGAAUAUUGCACAAUGGGCGAAAGCCUGAUGCAGCAACGCCGCGUGAGCGAUGAAGGCCUUCGGGUCGUAAAGCUCUGUCCUCAAGGAAGAUAAUGACGGUACUUGAGGAGGAAGCCCCGGCUAACUACGUGCCAGCAGCCGCGGUAAUACGUAGGGGGCUAGCGUUAUCCGGAAUUACUGGGCGUAAAGGGUGCGUAGGUGGUUUCUUAAGUCAGAGGUGAAAGGCUACGGCUCAACCGUAGUAAGCCUUUGAAACUGGGGAACUUGAGUGCAGGAGAGGAGAGUGGAAUUCCUAGUGUAGCGGUGAAAUGCGUAGAUAUUAGGAGGAACACCAGUUGCGAAGGCGGCUCUCUGGACUGUAACUGACACUGAGGCACGAAAGCGUGGGGAGCAAACAGGAUUAGAUACCCUGGUAGUCCACGCCGUAAACGAUGAGUACUAGCUGUCGGAGGUUACCCCCUUCGGUGGCGCAGCUAACGCAUUAAGUACUCCGCCUGGGAAGUACGCUCGCAAGAGUGAAACUCAAAGGAAUUGACGGGGACCCGCACAAGUAGCGGAGCAUGUGGUUUAAUUCGAAGCAACGCGAAGAACCUUACCUAAGCUUGACAUCCUUUUGACCGAUGCCUAAUCGCAUCUUUCCCUUCGGGGACAGAAGUGACAGGUGGUGCAUGGUUGUCGUCAGCUCGUGUCGUGAGAUGUUGGGUUAAGUCCCGCAACAAGCGCAACCCUUGCCUUUAGUUGCCAGCAUUAAGUUGGGCACUCUAGAGGGACUGCCAGGGAUAACCUGGAGGAAGGUGGGGAUGACGUCAAAUCAUCAUGCCCCUUAUGCUUAGGGCUACACACGUGCUACAAUGGGUGGUACAGAGGGCAGCCAAGUCGUGAGGCGGAGCUAAUCCCUUAAGGCCAUUCUCAGUUCGGAUUGUAGGCUGAAACUCGCCUACAUGAAGCUGGAGUUACUAGUAAUCGCAGAUCAGAAUGCUGCGGUGAAUGCGUUCCCGGGUCUUGUACACACCGCCCGUCACACCACGGAAGUUGGGGGCGCCCGAAGCCACUUAGCUAACCCUUUUGGGAAGCGAGUGUCGAAGGUGAAAUCAAUAACUGGGGUGAAGUCGUAACAAGGUAUCC